CUCAGAACGAACGCUGGCGGCGCGUUUUAAGCAUGCAAGUCGAGCGGUACUACCCUUCGGGGUAGCUAGAGCGGCGAACGGGUGAGUAACACGUAGAUAAUCUGCCUUGAGGUUGGGGAUAGCCUGUGGAAACACAGGGUAAUACCGAAUAAGCCCUACGGGGGAAAGGUGCUAAGGCACCGCCUUAAGAUGAGUCUGCGGCUCAUUAGUUAGUUGGUGGGGUAACGGCCUACCAAGGCGACGAUGAGUAGCCGGCCUGAGAGGGUGGACGGGCACACUGGGACUGAGACACGGCCCAGACUCCUACGGGAGGCAGCAGCUAAGAAUCUUCCGCAAUGGGCGCAAGCCUGACGGAGCGACGCCGCGUGAACGAUGAAGGCCGUGAGGUUGUAAAGUUCUUUUCUUACUGAAGAAUAACCGUUGCAGGGAAUGGCAGCGGGAUGACGUUAGGUAAGGAAUAAGCCCCGGCUAAUUACGUGCCAGCAGCCGCGGUAACACGUAAGGGGCAAGCGUUGUUCGGAAUUAUUGGGCGUAAAGGGCGUGUAGGCGGUUUUACAAGUCUGGUGUGACAUACCGAAGAUUAACUGCGGGGACGCGCUGGAAACUGUAAGACUAGAGUACAGGAGGGGGACCUGGAA
rnacentral:rRNA from 1 species